AGAAUAGUUGUGUAAAGGAUAGAGCGCAUGUAUCUUCAUCUUGCAUUUAGGUCAUUUCUUGAAAUACAGAUUGAUUUUUCUGUUGCCAUAAUGACAAAUGCCAUAUUUAGGGUUUUCUUAACAGGUUAGGAUGUCUCACAUAACCACAGGAUUCCUCAGAGUGACCAUGCUGCUCUUCAGAGUGCUAGCAGGCUAGCACUCAUCACUGAGAAUGAUGGAGCGCCUUCCACACGUCACACCACACCCCCAGAAAAUACAGGCAUCUUUAAAUCUUGUAUGCAAGGCUCUAUUCUCACCACUGUUUGGAAUGCUUGGUAGAGACAUCCAUGAAUGCUGCCUUGAGGUCAAAGAGGCCUCGUCCAAUCAGUGACAGUAAAUGGAGUGACAGCACAUGUGACAGUGAUGCCCCAGGGGAGGGGCUCUGGCAGCAACUUUAAUCGGGUGAAUGAUUAGACAGUGGCCAACUGACUGAAGACAGCAGAGAAGACAGACCAAGAGAGCUGGCUCAGUGCUUAGGACACACUGAGAAACUGAAAGAGGAACAAAAGACGUGAGAAAGAAGCCAUCAUGUUUACAGACGUUUCAGUGAAAAGUGAUUCAACUUUUGCCUUGGCACAUGCACACUGAGGUCUACGGAAGGGGUGUUCAAGGGGGACCUGCUGUACAGCACAGGGAACUCUACCUGAUAUUCUGUGAUAACCUGUGUGGGAAAAGAAUCCGAGACAGAAAGAAUGUGUAUACAUGUAUGA
rnacentral:lncRNA from 1 species